CAGGAAUUGAACCAGGUGUGCUUAAUUACUGAGCCACAUCCUCAGCCUUUUAAAGUAUUUUAUAGACAGGGUCUUGCUAAGUUUCUUGGGCCUUGCUAAAUUGCUGAGGCUGGCUUUGAAUUCAUGAUCCUCCUACCUCAGUCUCCUGAGUCACUGGGAUUACAGGUGUGUGCCACCGCACCCAGCAGGACAUUGGCUUUCUUUUAUGCACACUGCAAAUGAGGGCAAGUUAGUGUCAUCUGUGGAAAGCUACUUUCUUGCAUGUACACAGGACAGUUACUUGCUCCUUGGGAUGCUGUCAGACAAGUAAAUUAAGCAAGCUAAUGCUGAUGAUGUCACUGUUUCAGCAGCCUAACUUAUAAAACCUCUCUGAGUUGGGAUGGUACGGAACUGAGGGCACUGUGGAAAGGAUACAUGUCACUUGUUGAGCUGUCCAUCACUGGACAAACAUGUGAGGGAGAGGCGGUGCUGCUUGGCAGGCACCAUGAGGGACAGAAGUGCAAUCAGCCUGUCACCACUGAACUCUUAGUAUUCUUGGAGCAGUCACUGAUCUCAGUAUCUCUCUCUUUUUAUUUUUUUAACAUUUAUUUUUCAGUAUUAGGUGGACACAAUAUCUUUAUUUUAUUUUUAUGUGGUGCCGAGAAUUGAACCCAGUGCCUCACGCAUGCUAGGCAAGCCUGCUACCACUUGAGCCACAUCCCCAGCUCCCCUCUCUCUCUUUUUAAAAAUAUUUUUAGUUGUAGAUGGACACAAUACCUUUAAUUAAUUAAUUUACUUAUUUUUAUGUGGUGCUAAGGAUUGAACCCAGUGCCUCACACCUGCCAGGCAAGGACUCUACCACUGAGCUACAACCCCAGCUCUGUCACUGAUCUCUUGUAAGUUUUCCUCAGCAAACCAUAUGUCUCUCCUAUGUUGUCUCUGGGCACUUUCUUUAGCCUGUCUGCAAUAUAUCCCACUGCCCUGCUACAAUAGAGC
rnacentral:lncRNA from 1 species